rnacentral:snoRNA from 13 species
GGGUCAAUGAUGAGAUCCCAUACUGAAGGAAGGUGAUGACUUAAAAAAGUCAUGCUCAAUAGGAUUACGCUGAGGCCC